rnacentral:lncRNA from 10 species
CGCAUGCCUGUAAUCCCAGCUACUCAGGAGGCUGAGGCAGAAGAAUCGCUUGGACCCGGGAGGUGGAGGUUGCAUUGAGCCGAGAUUGCACCACUGCACUCCAGCCUGGGCAACAGAGCUAGACUUCGUCUCAAAAAAAAAAAAAAAAAAAAACUGUGCUUGGAUGUUCCUACUGAUAGCGCUCUCAUUGCUGUCACCUUGCUGGUCACUCCCUUGAUUCACUGAUUUUAGCACCUGGGUCUACCACUAUUCCUGCUGAUCAUUCCUGGCACCUUAACCUCCACAGAGACAAUUUAACAUGCUGAUUUCCAAGUGACUACGUUAGCCCCAAUUGUCUUUAUUUCCCAUCUCAUCUCAACUGUCAAGUCAUAGGGUCAUAUCCAAGGUUUCGUCAUCACCAAUAACUGCAAUACAGCCAAACAUCUGAUUUCAAAUAUCCUAUUCCUUGACAUAGGUGCCUUCUGUUUUCGCCCACUCCUGCAGUUUUCUGCCGUCAUCCAGCCUUCUCCCACUUCUCACUAACCGUUCCACCCUUGAGUCCUUAUGUCCUUUCUUGUCUAGUUUAGAUUCACAGUUCGACACUGUCGCCACGCCCUUGCAAACACCCUUAAUCCCUUUCUCCUUUUUUCUCUGUUGUAAUUGCCUAGAAUCCCAACUCUUAAAAAUCAUACAACUGAGCUGAGUAGACUCAGUUCUGAGUUAUGACCACAAAUCUCAGAUUAACAUUCAACAUAAGUAUCGUAUUACACCUCUGCAGUUAUGGUCUUCUUCCAGUAUCACUAAUCUACAUAUUCUCUUUCCUCAAGUCUCUACUGCCCAAUUCGUUCCUCACACCUUCCACAGACCACAGAUGAGAGCUUUUACAUUUCUUCCAACCAGCAAAUGCACUGACUUACUCCCACCCAGUCUGAUGUCUCCCACCUUCUUUCCUGAUGCAUUUGAUAAACCCUUUCUUGACCCCAGGUCCCACUUGACUCCCCUUUACAGCAAAGGUUCUGAAUUUUUAUUUUGUUUUAUUUUUGAGGUGAAGUUUAACUCAUUGCCCAGGCUGGAGUGCAGUGGUGUGAUCUCGGCUCACUGCAACCCCUGCCUCCCGGGUUAAAGCUAUUCUCCUGCCUCAGCCUCUCGAGUAACUGGGAAUAUAGACACGUGCCACCAUGCUGGGCUAAUUUUUGAAUUUUUAGUAGAGACAGGGAGGGUUUCACCAUGUUGACUGGGCUGGUCUCAAACUCCUGACCUCAGGCGAUCCACCGGCCUUGGCCUCCCAAAGUGCUGGGAUUACAGGAGUGAGUCACCACGUCCGGCCUUGAUGAGCAUUCUUUUUCUAUCCUUUCUUUUUCAACCUAUCUGUGCCUUUAGACAGUCACAUGUCUUUUACCAACAGGGAUGCAUUCUGAGAAAUGUAAGGUGAUUUCGUUGCUGUGUGAACACCCUAGGUUGUAUUUAAACUGAGUAUAGCCUACUAUACAACUCGGCUCUGUGGGGUGUAGUUUAGGCUACAACACAUCUAGGCUACAAACUUGUACAGCAUGUUACUGUACUGCAUAAUGUAGGCAAUUGUAACACAAUAGUAAGUAUUUGUGUAUCUAAAUAUAGAAAAGGUACAGUAAAAAUUUGGUAUUAUAAUCGUAUGGGGCCACCAUCAUAUAUGUGGUCUGUUUUUGACUGAAAUGAUGUCAUGUGGUGCAGGACUGCAUUUAAAAUGUGUCUCUUGUAAGUAACAUAUAGUUGAGUCUUGUUUUUUAAUAGUCUGAUAAUCUUUGUCACUUAACUGGAAU